UACGUAGGGUGCGAGCGUUGUCCGGAAUUAUUGGGCGUAAAGAGCUUGUAGGCGGUCUGUCGCGUCUGCUGUGAAAAUCCGGGGCUCAACCCCGGACUUGCAGUGGGUACGGGCAGACUAGAGUGUGGUAGGGGAGACUGGAAUUCCUGGUGUAGCGGUGAAAUGCGUAGAGAUCCGGAGGAACCCCUGAGGCGAAGGCGGCUUUCUGGACACCAACUGACGCUGAGAUGCGAAAGCGUGGGGAGCAAACAGG
rnacentral:rRNA from 1 species